rnacentral:tRNA from 1 species
CUCGGUGUGCGUCGGCUUCUCGGACGGUCCCGUCUCGCCGGACGCGGCGCCGUCCUGCUGCGCGGCGGGCGCGUCGCCCGCCGGCU